GACGAACGCUGGCGGCGUGCUUAACACAUGCAAGUCGAACGAAGAGCGAUGGAAGCUUGCUUCUAUCCAUCUUCGUGGCGCACGGGUGUGUAACGCGUAAUCCACCUCUCCUUCAGUGGGGGACCUCAGUUGGAAACGACUGCUUAUACCGCAUUCUAUCCAAUCUCGUCAUCCAGUAUGGAUGAAAGGUGGCCUUUAUUUUUAAGCUAUCAUUCAAGGCGGGGUUUGCGUCUGAUUAGCUAGUUGGUGGGGUAACGGCCCACCAAUGCGAUGCUCAGGAGCCGGUCUGGGAGGAGGAACGGCCACAUUGGGACUGGGACACGGCCCAGAAUUCUAAGGGGGGGAGCAGGGGGGAAUCUUCCGCAAUGGACGAAAGUCUGACGGAGGAACGCCGGGUGAGGGAUGACGGCCUUCGGGUUGGAAAGAUCUGUUAAUCGGGAAGAAAGGUACUCUUGAGAAUAGUUAGAGGAAUUGACGGUACCGGAAUAGAAAGCCACGGCUAACUACGUG
rnacentral:rRNA from 1 species